rnacentral:rRNA from 1 species
AUGUUCGAGUAUGUAAAUGUUGUCAGCAAGAUGUUUGAUAGUGAGGCUGAAGGCUAUGAAUUCUACAACAAAUAUGCUCUUGAAAAAGGUUUUAGUGUGAGGAAAAGCUACGUUGAGUGGGACGGAUCCAACAAAUACAUAAUUUUAAGGAAAAUUGUGUGUAGUCGUCAAGGGUUUCGCGAACAUAAGCACAUGAAAAGAAAGAUGGAAGAUAGAAAGAGGAGGCCACGAAGUUUAACUCGUGUUGGGUGUAAUGCUAAAUUGGUCAUUACAAGACAGGAGGAAACCGGUCCGUGGUUUGUCAAGGAUUUCAUCGAUGAGCACAGCCAUCCUCUAGCCCCAUGGGAUCUUUCUUGUCUGCUGCGUUCGCACAGACGAAUUAGCGAUGAGCAGAAAGCGGACAUUGCAGACAUGGAAAAAUUUGGGAUCCGUAAAUACCGUAUUAUGGAUAUUUUGUGCUUUCAAUACGGUGGAUUUUAUAAGGUUGGAUGCAUAAAGAGGGACGUUUACAAUUUCUGCCAUGCUAAUAAGCAGGAAACAAUCAGUGUCGGUGAUGCUAAAACGGUGAUCAUGCACAUGAUGGCGAGGCGAGAGCGAGAUGUGGAUUUUUUCUUCAAGUACUUGGUAGAUGAGCAUGGCCAUCUGAAGGGACUGUUCUGGGCUGAUAGUUAAUCGUGACUUGACUACGAGGCUUUCGGAGACGUCAUUGUUUUUGAUAGCACAUACAGAACCAAUAAAUACAAUCUGCCAUUCGUGCCUUUUGUCGGGUUGAAUCACCACCACAGCACUGUUAUAUUUGGCUGUGGUAUAAUUUCUCAUGAAACAAGCCAGGCAUACGAGUGGAUGUUGCGGACCUUUUCUGAUUGCAUGGCACAGAAGCAUCUGAUAUAUGUGAUCACAGAUGGGGACCUUGCAAUGCAGAGAGCAAUAAGGGUGGUCUGGCCAGACUCAAACCAUAGACUAUGUAUAUGGCACAUUCAGCAGAACAUUGUACGCCAUCUGCAUGAUGACGACGUAAAGGAGGAAUUCAGAUCUUUCAUUUAUGAUACUUCUUCCACUGAAGAGCAUGAGAUAAAAUGGAUACAAUUCUUACAACGGAAUAAAGUAACCAGUGAGGAGUCUUGGCUGCAUCAGAUGUAUCAGAUGAGAAAGUUGUGGUGUGCUCCAUAUCUUGAGGGCCGUUGUUUCCUAGGAUUGAGCAGCAAUCAAAGGAGUGAGAGCUUGAACUCUGUGCUACAUACGCAUCUUGAGGGUAAGAUGUCGUUGUUUGAAAUGCUAGAGCACUAUGAGCGUUGCCUUGCGUCGCGACGGAUUAACGAAGCUCUCCAUGACGUCGAAGCCUUGCAGUCCGUUCCAUUUACAGAGGAAAAUGCUUCGCCGCUUGAGAAACACGCCGCAACAGUUUUCACACCUAGGGUCUUUAAGAUGGUCUUAUGGAGCAUAGAUGUUGUCAGCAAAUGUCAGAUUAGAGAGAUACUAGAUGGAUCAGAAGAUUCCACUUAUGUUGUGUCCAAGCAGGAAAGAAUGGAUAAAAAGUUUGGAGUGCGCAUUGAAGAGCAAGGAGGUCUUUUGCACAGGGUGAGUUGUUCUUGCCGUAAGCUGGAAUGCGCAGGCACACCAUGUUCCCACAUUUUUUACAUA